ensembl:lncRNA
AUGCCUGUGUCCCAGACCGGCCUCUUCGGUGACGUGGUCGAGAACCUGGCCCAGCAGUUCUUGGCUGCACGGGAGCAGACUGAGGCGGUCCAACCUUCUGCCCGGCGGGCAGCUGCUGCCUCCACCCGUCCGCCGGUUGCAACGCCCCAGCCUGCUCGUCACCGAGGGCGGCCCCCUGCGUCCACCCGCUCCCGCGCCGCAUCCGCAGCAGCCUCCAGCAAGUGGCGCCGUAGAGCUGGGCAUAGGCAGGCCGCCCCACCCGUCCUGGCCCCCGUCAAACCUGGCGGUGAGCGGAAGAGCAAGAGGCCCCGGGGACGGGGUGGCCCAGAGAGAGGAAGCCGCUUUCUGGGGGAUGGUGAAAGCACCUCUCCCUCCCCUGAAGGAGGGCCAGGGGAGAAUCUGGAAAUCUCGACGAGAGAGCGGUUUUCUCUGUCUCUGGGUCCCAGGAGGGCACGGAGAGUUGCGGACGGCCAAACACCGGACCUCACUCAUCCUCCUCCUUCGCCAGAUGGCAGCAGCGGGCGGUUCGAGAGCGUCAACAAAGGCCCUACUCACGCACCCUCUGCCAACCCGUGGAACCAGGUGAGCCCUGCACCCCACACUCGCACCACACUCAGGCCUGCUCACAAGCCGCCCGAGAUGGGUCCCUGUGUUCCACCUCGCUGCCCCACUGCGGGUACGGCUGUGGUUCCGCUGGUCCCGCUUGUACGGUUUCUAAGCGCCUGGUCAGCGCUACCCAGCCCGUCUCGCUGGCUCCUGCGGACCAUCAGCCUCGGCUAUGCGAUUCAGUUCGCCCGGCGUUCCCCCAAGUUCAGCGGUAUCCGCUUCACUACAGUGAAAGCGUCCGAUGCCCCUGUUCUGCGGGAAGAGAUUGCAGUCUUACUGGCGAAAGACGCGAUAGAGCCGGUCCCUCCAGCCGAUAUGAGGACGGGGUUUUACAGCCCCUGCUUCAUUGUACCCAAGAAAGGCGGUGGGUUACGACCAAUCUUGGAUCUGCGAGUUUUGAACCAGGCCCUUCAUCGGCUACCGUUCAAGAUGUUGACGCAGAAACGCAUCUUCGGGUGCGUCCGUCCCCGAGAUUGGUUUGCAGCGAUCGACCUGAAGGAUGCGUACUUUCAUGUGUUGAUCCUUCCGCGCCACAGACCUUUUCUGCGGUUUGCGUCUGAAGGACAGGCAUAUCAGUACAAGGUCCUGCCCUUCGGGCUGUCCCUUUCUCCCCGUGUCUUCACGAAAGUCACAGAGGCGGCUCUUGUUCCCCUCAGAGAGCAGGGUGUUCGUAUUCUCAACUAUCUAGACGAUUGGCUGAUACUAGCACAAUCUCGGGAUCAGUUGUGCGAACACAGGGACCUGGUGCUCCGGCACCUCAGCCUGUUGGGCCUUCGGGUCAACUGGGAAAAGAGCAAACUCUUGCCAACGCAGAGGAUCUCUUUUCUCGGUAUGGAGUUGGAUUCGGUCGAACAGACAGCACGCCUCAUAGAGGAACGUGCGCGGUCGGUGCAAGCCUGCUUGAAUACAUUCAAGAGCAGGACAGCGGUCCCACUGAAACUCUUUCAGAGGCUCCUGGGGCAUAUGGCGGCCGCAGCGGCACUUACACCGCUCGGCCUGUUACAUAUGAGACCGCUCCAGCACUGGCUUUAUGGCCGAGUCCCGAGGUGGGCGUGGAAGCGCGGCACUCACCGGGUCCAAGUUACACCGGCCUGUCGCCAAACCCUCACCCCGUGGUCAGAUCUUGCGUUUCUCAGGGCAGGGGCGCCCCUAGAGCAGAUCUCCAGGCAUGCUGUGGUUUACACGGAUGCCUCCACCACCGGCUGGGGGGCCACGUACAACGGGCAUGCAGUCUCAGGGGUUUGGACGGGCCCGCAGCUGCAGUGGCACAUCAGUUGCCUAGAGUUGUUAGCAGUGCACCUUGCCUUGAACCGUCUCAAAGGUCACUUACGAGGCAAGCAUGUGCUGGUCUGA